AGUGAACGCUGGCGGUAGGCCUAACACAUGCAAGUUGAACGGCAGCACAGUAAGAGCUUGCUCUUACGGGUGGCGAGUGGCGGACGGGUGAGGAAUACAUCGGAAUCUACUUUUUCGUGGGGGAUAACGUAGGGAAACUUACGCUAAUACCGCAUACGACCUACGGGUGAAAGCAGGGGAUCUUCGGACCUUGCGCGAUUGAAUGAGCCGAUGUCGGAUUAGCUAGUUGGCGGGGUAAAGGCCCACCAAGGCGACGAUCCGUAGCUGGUCUGAGAGGAUGAUCAGCCACACUGGAACUGAGACACGGUCCAGACUCCUACGGGAGGCAGCAGUGGGGAAUAUUGGACAAUGGGCGCAAGCCUGAUCCAGCCAUACCGCGUGGGUGAAGAAGGCCUUCGGGUUGUAAAGCCCUUUUGUUGGGAAAGAAGAGCAGCAGGUUAAUACCCCGCUGUUCUGACGGUACCCAAAGAAUAAGCACCGGCUAACUUCGUG
rnacentral:rRNA from 1 species